UAAGGAAUAUUGGUCAAUGGACGCAAGUCUGAACCAGCCAUGCCGCGUGAAGGAUGAAGGUCCUCUGGAUUGUAAACUUCUUUUAUCUGGGACGAAAACGGGAUUUUUAUCUCAAUUGACGGUACCAGAGGAAUAAGCACCGGCUAACUCCGUGCCAGCAGCCGCGGUAAUACGUAGGGGGCAAGCGUUGUCCGGAUUUACUGGGUGUAAAGGGCGCGCAGGCGGGAUAAAAGUCAGUGGUGAAAUCCUACAGCUUAACUGUAGAACUGCCUUUGAUACUUUUAUUCUUGAGUUCGGGAGAGAGAGACGGAAUUCCAGGUGUAGUUGUGAAAUACGUAGAUAUCUGGAAGAACACCAGUUGCGAAGGCGGUCUCGUGGUCCGACACUGACGCUGAGGCGCGAAAGCGUGGGGAGCAAACA
rnacentral:rRNA from 1 species